rnacentral:lncRNA from 1 species
AUGGCCACUCCAUUGACAUCCCAACAAAGAGUUAAAUGUAAUAUAUUGUCAAAAGGAAUUCCCUCUUUAAGUUCUCUUUUCCUAAAGACGUUUCCUCCUGGGGUUUGUCCAUUAGAACGACAUGCUAGAGAACCAUUUUCCUUCUCCUCCUCCUGCUCCUCCUCCUCCAGACUCUCUCCAGACACUCUCCACAUAAGAACAGGAGGACAUGAAGGUUGUUUCAUUUCUACCAUCUCCUGCAUUGUUACUUCUAAAUAAAUUUUUUCUCUGAAUUCUCUUUGUGAAUUCAGUUCCACCAAUGCACUCUAUCCUGUAAUCCAAAUAUCACAACAUGGUUCACUUACAGUACGUCCAUGAAAUUGCUAUUUGAUUGUUUGUUUUGAAUGUUGUCCCAGGUUAACCUACUGGACAAAAGAAUGUGUUGAUCUAUUGUCAUUAUCAGGUGCAAUUGUUUAGAUAUGUUUCCCUCUGUCAACAGGUAAACCUACCCUGCUUUUCUGUCAGCAAGACAGGAUUCUCUGACAUAGCAAAGGGAGCCAUGUGCGUUUCACUGACCUAAAGGUCAGGGCAUUAUUGAGACAGGGAGAGAUGUGUGUGGAGAACUGAAUGAAGGGCUGAUCUCCACAUGAAAUGUCAUCACAACGCCAGGUUCAGCCCCUCAAUGUCAGACAUUAAAGUUAAUGGAUUAAACACAUUGAGCCAAAACUCUCUAUGGGCAGGGUUCUGAUGGAUGGAUUAAUAUUUCAUAUGGAUUGCUGAAGAACACGUUUGAAUGUAACAUAAACUGAAUAAGUGUUACUCACAUUUCUUCUUCUAAAUAAUCUAUUUUUCUGAAUUGUAAAUUACAUUAGGCCAACACACUGAUUAUUCGGUUAUAUCAAAUUGUAGCUUGCAUGUUGACUUCACAAGAAUAGCUAGCUAGCUAAUUAAGUAGCUAAUACUUUGUAUGAUGCCACGAUGUUUCAUGAAAUGUCAUGCCAAUGCUAAAUCUGCCAGCUAGCUAGCAAACAAGCUUCAGAGCAUACCCAUCUUACAAUCUUACAGACUCAUAAAUCAAUCAACAACAUCUUUAUAGGCUACAGUGCCUGAACCAACCUGAUUUUAAAAUGCUGCUGGCUAGCUAGGAGAGGACAACAUAUAGCUUUAUCAAAGCAGUCAUUUUGACUUUGAGGUAAUGCGGGUUCGAUUGAGCCCCUAGCUACAUGUGCAUCCUCCAGACAUAACAUUUGCUGUAGGACCAUCCUCAGAUUUUGUCAGAUAAGCUCUGAGAUUGAAUUUACAUUGAGGGAAACAGCUGCUUCACAUUUCUAAUGCCUGGAACAAUGUAAAGAUAGUAUGUUUGGACAGGUUUGGGCAAAAAUGGAGGUAAUUAUUUUGGGGGAGAUGUCAGUCAUCUCUGUCAGCCUCUAGAAAUAAACAGUAAAAUGACAUUGGCCUUCUUUGGGUCCUGCUGUAUUUUCACUUUCCUAUUUGUCUGGUUCAAAACAAGUGCACUUUUGAAAUUGUUCUCACCCUGUUUUUAUUUUACCGUAGGAUAAUCAUAUUUUAUCACACAAUAACUAUGACAUAGUUAUUAUACAGUAAUAUCCACCUGUCACUGAUGCAAUGGUAUCCUGUAGCACACUAGGUGGCUAUGCUUUGAGCUGGAGUCAGUUAGAUCACAGCCAAAAGAAGGGCGACACAAUUCACCCCUUGACCCUCUACCCUGCAGCUGCACUAUCGAUCUAUAGCUGAAGUACUCUACUGUGUUUUUGUCACCCAUUCACCCAGCCAUGUGUAAUCGAUCCCUCCAUAUGUCUGAAAAAACACUUCAAGGUCCAAAUAUUAUCACCUUGGUCAGCUGGACCACGUGCACUCCCUUUUAUAUUUAAAUACAGUAAAAGCAUAAGAGGAAUGGGUUUGGAAAGAAACCAUUACUACUGGACAAUUCAGGGGCAUCCCCAACUUACAGAGAAAGAGUAAGAGGUGGAGUAAUUAUCACACCAUGUCUAAGUCUGGCCUGGCCUCCCAAAGACCCCUUGCCCCUGUGCUCUACAAUGUUCUAGUCUGGCCUAGCCAUACGGGUGAAUCCAAAGCCAAUUCCAUCUUCUGAAUUUAGUUCAAAUGUAAUGUUUUAAAUUUGUAUUUGAAGGUAUACAUUUUAGUAACA